AUUGAACGCUGACGGCAUGCCUUACACAUGCAAGUCGAACGGCAGCGGGGGAGAAGCUUGCUUUUCCUGCCGGCGAGUGGCGAACGGGUGAGUAAUACAUCGGAACGUGCCCUGUAGUGGGGGAUAACUAGUCGAAAGAUUAGCUAAUACCGCAUACGACCUGAGGGUGAAAGUGGGGGACCGCAAGGCCUCAUGCUAUAGGAGCGGCCGAGGUCUGAUUAGCUAGUUGGUGGGGUAAAGGCCUACCAAGGCGACGAUCAGUAGCUGGUCUGAGAGGACGCUCAGCCACACUGGGACUGAGACACGGCCCAGACUCCUACGGGAGGCAGCAGUGGGGAAUUUUGGACAAUGGGCGAAAGCCUGAUCCAGCAAUGCCGCGUGUGUGAAGAAGGCCUUCGGGUUGUAAAGCACUUUUGUCCGGAAAGAAAUGGCUCUGGUUAAUACCUGGGGUCGAUGACGGUACCGGAAGAAUAAGGACCGGCUAACUACGUGCCAGCCGCCGCCGUAA
rnacentral:rRNA from 1 species